rnacentral:rRNA from 1 species
GAUGAACGCUAGGGGGAGGCCUAACACAUGCAAGCCGAGCGGUAGAGUUUCUUCGGAAACUUGAGAGCGGCGCACGGGUGCGUAACACGUGUGCAACCUACCUUUAUCUGGGGGAUAGCCUUUCGAAAGGAGGAUUAAUACCCCAUAAUAUAAUGAUUGGCAUCAAUUAUUAUUGAAAACUCCGGUGGAUAGAGAUGGGCACGCGCAAGAUUAGAUAGUUGGUGAGGUAACGGCUCACCAAGUCAAUGAUCUUUAGGGGUCCUGAGAGGGAGAUCCCCCACAAUGGUACUGAGACACGGACCAGACUGCUACGGGAGGCAGCAGUGAGGAAUAUUGGACAAGGGGUGAGAGCCUGAUCCAGCCAUCCCGCGUGAAGGAUGACGGUCCUAUGGAUUGUAAACUUCUUUUGUACAGGGAUAAACCUACCCUCGUGAGGGUAGCUGAAGGUACUGUACGAAUAAGCACCGGCUAACUCCGUG